GGCAGGCCUAACACAUGCAAGUCGAGCGGUAGCACAGAGAGCUUGCUCUCGGGUGACGAGCGGCGGACGGGUGAGUAAUGUCUGGGAAACUGCCUGAUGGAGGGGGAUAACUACUGGAAACGGUAGCUAAUACCGCAUAACGUCGCAAGACCAAAGUGGGGGACCUUCGGGCCUCAUGCCAUCAGAUGUGCCCAGAUGGGAUUAGCUAGUAGGUGGGGUAACGGCUCACCUAGGCGACGAUCCCUAGCUGGUCUGAGAGGAUGACCAGCCACACUGGAACUGAGACACGGUCCAGACUCCUACGGGAGGCAGCAGUGGGGAAUAUUGCACAAUGGGCGCAAGCCUGAUGCAGCCAUGCCGCGUGUAUGAAGAAGGCCUUCGGGUUGUAAAGUACUUUCAGCGGGGAGGAAGGCGAUAAGGUUAAUAACCUUGUCGAUUGACGUUACCCGCAGAAGAAGCACCGGCUAACUCCGUGCCAGCAGCCGCGGUAAUACGGAGGGUGCAAGCGUUAAUCGGAAUUACUGGGCGUAAAGCGCACGCAGGCGGUCUGUCAAGUCGGAUGUGAAAUCCCCGGGCUCAACCUGGGAACUGCAUUCGAAACUGGCAGGCUAGAGUCUUGUAGAGGGGGG
rnacentral:rRNA from 1 species